rnacentral:rRNA from 1 species
AGAGUUUGAUCCUGGCUCAGAGUGAACGCUGGCGGCAGGCCUAACACAUGCAAGUCGAGCGGCAGCGCGGGGCAACCUGGCGGCGAGCGGCGGACGGGUGAGGAAUGCAUCGGAAUCUACCCUGUCGUGGGGGAUAACGUAGGGAAACUUACGCUAAUACCGCAUACGACCGAGAGGUGAAAGUGGGGGACCGCAAGGCCUCACGCGAUUGGAUGAGCCGAUGCCGGAUUAGCUAGUUGGUGGGGUAAAGGCCCACCAAGGCGACGAUCCGUAGCUGGUCUGAGAGGAUGAUCAGCCACACUGGGACUGAGACACGGCCCAGACUCCUACGGGAGGCAGCAGUGGGGAAUAUUGGACAAUGGGCGCAAGCCUGAUCCAGCCAUGCCGCGUGUGUGAAGAAGGCCUUCGGGUUGUAAAGCACUUUUGUUCGGGAAGAAAUCGUGCGGAUUAAUACUUCGUACGGAUGACGGUACCGAAAGAAUAAGCACCGGCUAACUUCGUGCCAGCAGCCGCGGUAAUAC